rnacentral:rRNA from 1 species
AACGAACGCUGGCGGCAUGCUUAACACAUGCAAGUCGAGCGCCCCGCAAGGGGAGCGGCAGACGGGUGAGUAACGCGUGGGAAUCUACCCAAUACUCCGGAAUAGCUCCGCGACACUGGAAUUAAUACCGUAUGUGCCCUCCUGGGGGAAGCUUUAUCGGUAUUGGAUGCGCCCGGGUUGGAUUAGCGUGUUGGUGGGGUAAUGGACUACCAAGUGGACGAGCCAAAGCUGGUCUGCGUGGAUGAUCAGCCAGACUGGGACUGAGACACGGCCCAGACUCGUACGGGAGGGAGCAGGGGGAAUAGUGGACAAUGGGGGAAAGCCUGAUCCAGCCAUGCCGCGUGAGUGAUGAAGGCCUGAGGGUUGUAAAGCGCUUUUAGUGGGGAAGAUAAUGACGGUACCCGGUGAAUAAGCUCCGGCUAACUACGUGCCAGCCGCCGCCGUAAAAC